GACGAACGCUGGCGGCGUGCUUAACACAUGCAAGUCGAACGAAGUUUAAGGGAGAGUAAUCGAACUUAAACUUAGUGGCGGACGGGUGCGUAACGCGUGAACAAUCUGUCCUAUAGAGGGGGAUAACAGGCAGAAAUGUCUGCUAAUACCGCAUAAGACCACGGAGUCGCAUGGCUCUGAGGUAAAAGGAGCAAUCCACUAAAGGGUGAGUUCGCGUCUGAUUAGCUAGUUGGUGAGGUAACGGCCCACCAAGGCGACGAUCAGUAGCCGAUCUGAGAGGAUGACCGGCCACACUGGAACUGAGAAACGGUCCAGACUCCUACGGGAGGCAGCAGUGGGGAAUAUUGGGCAAUGGGCGAAAGCCUGACCCAGCAACGCCGCGUGAGGGAAGAAGGUUUUCGGAUCGUAAACCUCUGUCGCAGGGGACGAAAAAAAUGACGGUACCCUGUGAGGAAGCUCCGGCUAACUACGUGCCAGCCGCCGCGGUAAUAC
rnacentral:rRNA from 1 species